rnacentral:rRNA from 1 species
AGUGAACGCUGGCGGCGUGCCUAAUACAUGCAAGUCGAACGGAGUGGCGCACGGGUGAGUAAUAUAUAGCUAACCUGCCCCUUGCUGGAGGACAACAGUUAGAAAUGACUGCUAAUACCCCAUAGCGAGGGAUGAGACUAUAUCGUGUCAACUAGUCGGUGGGGUAACGGCCUACCGAGGCUAUGAUGCGUAACUGGUCUGAGGGGAUGAUCAGUCACGUUGGACAUGAGGCACGGUCCAAGAUGCUGCGGGAAGGGGGAGUAGGGAAUAUUGCGCAGUGGGAGAAACCGUGACGGAGCUACGGCGCGUGGAGGAUGAAACUUUGCGAAGCGUAGACUCCGUUUGUUAGGGAGGCGGUACCUACCGAAUAAGCACCGGCUAACUCCGUGCCAGCAGCCGCGGUAAUAC